rnacentral:rRNA from 1 species
UACGGAGGGUGCAAGCAUUAAUCGGAUUCACUGGGCGUAAAGAGCGCGUAGGUGGUUAAGUAAGUCAUAGUUGAAAUUACGAAGCUCAACUUCGUAGCUGGCUAUGAAACUAUUAAACUAGAGGAUAGACGGAGGAAACGGAAUUUCACGUGUAGCGGUGAAAUGCGUAGAUAUGUGAAGGAACACCGGUUGCGAAAGCGGUUUCCUAGUCUACCCCUGACACUGAGGCGCGAAAGCUAGGGGAGCAAACAGGAUUAGAUACCCGCGUA